UACGUAGGCAGCGAGCGUUGUUCGGAGUUACUGGGCAUAAAGGGUGUGUAGGCGGUUCUUUAAGUUUGGUGUGAAAUCUCCCGGCUCAACUGGGAGGGUGUGCCGAAAACUGGGAGGCUAGAGUACUGGAUGGGAGAGUGGAAUUCCUGGUGUAGCGGUGAAAUUCGUAGAUAUCAGGAGGAACACCGGUGGCGAAGGCGGCCCACUGGAUCGGUACUGACGCUGAGGUGCGAAAGCGUGGGGAGCAACAGG
rnacentral:rRNA from 1 species